rnacentral:misc_RNA from 1 species
UCAACCCUCAAGCCCGGCUUGUUAUUGGGUGUAUUGUUAAAAAAUUCACCUCAAAGAUAAUGGCGGUGUCAUGAAUGACCCCAGGUGCAGCGAGCUUUUGCAUACACUGAGGUGGUCAUUUUUGUCCCGGUCACAAAAACACUUUUUUAAUCAAA